UUUCCAGAGCCAGUUGUACUUAAUAUUUCUAUCAAAAUCACUUUUAUGACUCUUAAGGACUCUAUAGGUGGAACUUGUGGAGAAGGUUCCAUUAUCACUAUGUUCCCAGAUUAUUUUAUCUUGAGGGGAGGAGUUUUGGGGGGAUAUGGACAUCCUUAAUAAGAUUCUGGAUAUCAGUAGAGAGUUCAAAAGAUAAUUCGUUGAAAGACCAUUUGUUAUCCUUGAUUAGGUCGCUGAUAUUGAGGUUUUGGUCUAUUAAACUUAGAGGGCCCGCUACUAGGGUAUAGAGGGCUUCAGUAUUUAUGAUUCAUUUGUCAAACCAAAAGGAUAUUUUGUCUCCCUUGCCAAGGUCCCAUCUACUAUUUUUCAAACAUAUGCCCCACCCAUACAUGAUGGUUUUCCAGAUAGGAGUGGAGCAUUUUAAAUGCUUGUGAGAAGUGUGGAGGCCAUAGUUUCUAGUGAAUUUCUUGGUUUGAGAGAUGUCCAUAGGGAACGGUUCUGACUGUACAUAUGCCAAGUUGAUUUGAUAAGUAGAGCAUUGUUCUUAGCUGCACACUGUUGGAGUCCCAGUCUUCAUGUGCUCUUAUCUCUAGUAGUAGUGUCCCAAUUAACUAGGUGGAGCUUUCUUUUGACCAUUGUGGUACCCCAAAGAAAAUUACAUUGUAUUUGGUCAAUCCGUUUAGUAACAGCUACAUGUAGCUUAGUAGUUUGCAUGACGUGAUUGUAUAUACUACUAAGGGUGGACUUAAUAGGGGAGAGAGACCUGACAUAUUAAGAAAUUUUGUCUUCCAUCUAGCUAGUCGAUUUUGCAUAUUAUCCAUGAUGAAUUGGAAAUUGUUCGCGUAGGGUAUUUUUUAUGGAAAAUCGGGAAGCCUAAGUAUUUUCCAAAGGAGUGAGUGGCUUUGAUUUUCAAGGAGUUGGAAAUCCUGGAACGAAUAAAGUCAUUGCAAUUAUUUGAGAAAAGGAUUUUUCAUUUGGAGUUAUUAAUACUUUGUUCAGACUAGGAGCAAAAACAUAUCAUGAUCCUUAAAAUGGUGCGACUAUUUUCCUUAAUUGCUUAAGCUAUUAGGACAAGGUCGUCAACAAAAAAGAGAUGGGAUAGGUGAGGGCCAUGUAGAGAGAUUUUUAUGGGGGUACAUUUCGUUUGCAUUACAGCCUUAUUAAUUUGGUGGGAAAGGACUUCCAUACAUAGGAUUAAUAGAUAAGGUGAUAGGGGAUCACCUUGGCGUAGACCCCUCGAGGUAUUAAAAAAAUUUGUACGAGAUCUAUUGCAAAGAAUGGUUUUCUGGUUUGUUAUUAUACAUGACAUGAUGAGGUUACUGAUGUUGGUGGGGAAGAUAAAAUAUUGAAGGGUGUAUCUAAUGAAGGACCAUUCGAUUUUGUCGAAGGCGUUCUCUAGAUCGAUUUUGGCUAUCAUAUUUCCAGUUUUCCCUUUCAUUCGCCUGUAGUGGUUGAUUAUCUUAUGUAUGAUGAUGGCAUUGUCAAGGCCUAUCUAUUUUGGAGAAAGAUAGUUUGGCAUGGCCCUAUGAAUUUAGUCAUUAAAGGUCACAAUCUAUAGGAAAUUAUUUUAGUAGCAAUCUUAUAGCUAAGAUUACAAAGGCUAAUAAGGCGGAAGUUCUUAAGGGAAAUAGCAUUCUUGCAUUUGGGUAUUAAGCAAACAUAGGUUGUUUUUGCUAUCUUCAGGAAUGCAUUCAUUAACGAAAGCAUUCUUGCAGAAAGAGAUAACGGAUGGACCUACAAUAUGCCGAUAUUUUUGAUAGAAUAGGGGUGAAGUCCGUCUGGCCCAGUAGCUUUAAAGGGCUUAAAAGAGUGGAUUGUUCUUCUUACCUCUUUCUCGGAGGGUAGGGGACUUAAUAAAUCCUUCUCUGAGUCGGAGAGGGUUACAGAUCCUAGAAAAUAUUGGUAUUGCUUGGAUUUCGACUGACCCGAUUUAAAGAGUGAAAAUUAGUAGGAUUCUAUAUGGUUUAGGAUUUGUGUUGGGUCUUCGAUCCGUGUAUUGUCUUUUGUUGAAGGCUGUGGAUCCUAUUUCUUCUUCUCCUAAUAAGGAUGGUGGAGUGGACAUAUUUGGUGUUAGCAUCCUCUUCGUUGAGCUAGUCAAUCCUAGACUUAAGUUUCCACAAGUCCUCUUCUUGUUUGAGAAUACUGUUGUAAUCCUUGACGAGGUCUUGCUCUAGAUCUAGUAGGAAGGAUCUACUCGGAUAGUUUGGGGAGUUAUAGAUACCCUUUAUCCUUUUAAGGGUGAUUUUUUUUUCCUUUUGAAGAUAUUGCAGAAAGUUUCUUUAUUCCAGAUGGAAAUGACAUUUUCAAACUAGGAAGUAGCUUUUAUUAGGUUUUGAGAGGUAUUCCAGGCAUUCUCGAUUAGAGGAGGGAGGUCGGGGUGAGAACACCAAAUUGUUUCGAACCUAAAGAUUUUUGUAGUGGGGGAGUCUUUUUCGGAAGAGGGAUACCAUAGUAGAACAGUGCUCGAAGUGUGUUUUUGGAAGAUGACGUACUAGGGCCUCACGAAAGGAUAAAAGAUAAUCAUUAUUAGCGAAAAAACGGUCAAGUCUUUCAAAAAUUAGGUUGUCUUUAUUAGUGAAUCUUUUAUUAGCCCAAGUAUAUUUAUUGCCCUUAAACCCCAAAUCUAUGAAUUCACAGUGGUUGACUAUGGACCAGAAAUCUUUAGUGCGCGAACGAUUUAGCAUGUUACCACCAAAUUUAUCCUUGUUAUUUAGAAGGUCGUUAAAGUCUCCUCAUAUUAGCCAUUUCCCGAAGAAAUUAUCCAUGAUGGAUCAUAGGUUCUCUCAGAGGACUUUUUCUCAAAUUCAUGUAGCAACUAGCAUAAAUACAACUAAGUAACCAAUAAUCAUCAUGUGUACUUACCUUGAUCAUGUCAUGUAUUUCCUGACCAGUGGUGGCGAUUUCAUCAAGUUCGAGUAGAUUAUCAUCCCAUAAGACAACAAUGUCACCCGAGUUUCCCAUUGCAGGAACUUCGAAAGGAAGUUAUCAAGCAAGACUUGAUGGUUUUGCAUUUUGGUUUCAAAGAGUGCGACUAAGGGGGGUUUGUGCCAAUCAAGGAGAGCCCUAAAGUUUCUUUUGAAUUCGGGAUUGUUGGCACCUCUACAAUUCCAUAUUGUUAGGUUCAUUGAUCUGUUCAAGUUCGAUGGGUUUAUCAGGGGAGUCAUCCUUAAUGUCUGUGGCUGGGCAUUCAGAUUGUUUAUCAUUGUAGGGUUCAUGAUUAGCACAUAUUUCCCUACUUCUAGGUUGAAGGGGUUUUUAUAUCUAUCAAACUUUUAAAGAGAUUCUGCGGACAAAUAAGGAUGUAUUUUUUUUUGAAUCUCUCUUUGUAUAUCAUUAUUCUUAUUUCUUUUAGGGCCUGUUUGAAAGGACACAAUGGAAUUGGGAAUUGGUGUNNNNNNNNNNNNNNNNNNNNNNNNNNNNNNNNNNNNNNNNNNNNNNNNNNNNNNNNNNNNNNNNNNNNNNNNNNNNNNNNNNNNNNNNNNNNNNNNNNNNCAUGAUUUGUGCCAAUAUUUGUUGAGGAUUUUUAUGGUUGUUUUCACUGUUUGUUUCUAUUGAGAUUGGGCUGCGUAUUUACUUGUAGGCUCUAGGUAUUAAGUUGAUGAAGGGCACAUGAUAUUAUAGAAAUACUAAAGAUAAGAUCUGCAUAUUUACUUUAUUUUUAUGAUUGGUUCUGAUCGGUGAAUGUCAGUUGGUAUGGGUGGAAAUCUUGUUGAUUUAGUUGGUGUUUAUGUUAUCAUCUGUGCAACUGUUGGUGUAUUAGUGAGUUGGUACAAGAGUGACUGAGAACUGUAAUUUGACGACUUCAGGUUGUGAAGUUUGCAUCAAUCGAUACACCUCUGCUCUUGGUUUCUUUCCAUUUACACUCUUUGUAUUUAAAAUUGUAUAUUAGUUGAUUGUUACAGUGCAUAAUAUUGUCACUGGUAGCUAUAGUAAGUAGCAAAACAAAAUAUCAACUCCUAGUCAGCCUACCAAACAAACUUUAAAUGGGUUAACAGUUCAGGUUUGCUGUCCUCGGUGCUAGCUUGGGCUUGAAACUGGCCUUGUACAUCACUUCCUGGAUGAUGCGUCAAAUCAAAAUAAUUUUCGAUUCCUCUCUUGCCACACUUGAUAUAUGUGAUUAGUCAUAGUCAUUCGGUAAAUGUGAGCAUGAUGUAAAUUACUCCUCAUGUUAUUCUAAGAACAAUCAAGUUCACCUUGCCAAAUUAACAUCAAAGCCUACUUUAGUGAAGUACUUUUUUGCCUUGAAAUUUUUAAUAUUUUCAUUUAUGUAGGAUGACAACUAACCAAACACCUAAGGUUGGAAAACCAUACACCAAAUGGAGUGAAGUUCAAGAUGAACAUUUCAUUUACUUUAUUGCUGAACAAGUUAAGUUAGGAAGAACGCAACCAGGAGGCUUAACCACCGAAGGAUGGGAUAGUGUAGAAAAAGAAAUGAACAAGCUAUAUGGGGACAAAUUAGAUAAGACUAAAAUGAAAAAUAGGAUGAGGACUUUGAAGAAGAUAUAUGCUACUAUGAAGAGAAUGUCACAACAUAGUGGAUUUGGGUGGAAUGAAGAAACUCGAAAAGUUGAUGUUGAAGAUGAUGUCUGGGAGCAAUACCUUGCAGUGAGUUACAUAUAUUCUUUUUUUUUUCGAUAUAGUUUAAAUUUAUGUUAUUUAUUUUCUGAUUUAAGACUAUUGAUAAUAUAAUAGGCACACCCAAAAGAUUCUAAGUAUAGGACGAAGACGUUGCCAGACUAUAAUACUUUGGCAUUAAUUUUUGGAGAUAUUGUCGCUGAUGGUAGGAAUGGGUGUGAAAUUAAUGAUGUCGAGGAUUUUCAAAGUGAAUUCACCGAUGAUGAUAUAGCUGCUGAAAAAGUUACCAUACCUACUGAAGAUACACAAUUUGUUGACUAGGAUGAUGGAUAUUUUGUUCAGAACAUGAACUUUACUAGUCCUGAAAUAACUCAAUCAUCUAAUCAAGAAAAGAGAGCAGGAAAAAGGCAUUUAGAUGAGCAACCAACUUUGACAUCACGUCCAAAGAGAAUUAAGAAUUCUAUUGGAAAUAGCUUGGCAAAAUCUGUUGAUCGAUGGACAGCAAUAGCUGAAGAACAAAUAAGGCUACAACAUGAACCAAAAAACACUUCCGCUGAAAAAUUAAUGCCUUUGAUAUUGGAAUUAGACUUGGAUGAUGAAUGGACUAUGCAAACUGUUGACCUCCUUGUAGAUAAGAGAAAUGCUGAAUUUUUUGCUGCUAUGCCUCCAGAGCUUAGAAAGAAAUGGGUCAUGCGCAAACUUGGUUUAUAUUGAGUGAUGUCGUUUAAAAGCAUAUUUUGUUGUUCGAAUGACGUUUUGGGCUGGUAUCUUAUUUACUUCUAGAUUAUCUAUUCUAGAAUUAAUUCAUUUACUUGUCAAAUAGGAUGGCAAAGGAUGAUCAUGUCAUGGUGUUUCUGGCAAAAUGUGUACUUUUAAUUAGUAUCAUUGCAAGUUAUUUUGGUGUUGGAUCCAAAAAAAGAGUGCACGGAUCAAUUUUAACUAGAGCAGAUUUUAUUAAAUAUUUGAUUGAAGGACAUCCUCGUGGAUGCUAUGACCUAUUACGUAUGAAUGUUGGAUGUUUCUUGCAAUUUGCAGAUGAGAUGAAAACAAGAGGUCUAUUAACUGAUUCAAGAAUGGUUAGAGUUGAAGAACAACUGGCUAUAUUUUUAUUUACGUUAGCUCAUAAUGAAAGGAAUAGAGUUGUGCAAAAUCGUUUUCAACAUUUAGUCGUUAUUUUAACAAGUGCUUGAAAGCUUGUCUCCGAUUAGGGAAAUACUAUGUGAAACAGGCAAGGAAAAGAUAUCUCGCAUGAAAUAUCCUCUAAUCCUAUUUUUUUAUCCUUGGUUCAAGGUUAGUUUUUAGCAUUACAUUUAUUUUUACUAGUUAAAAUUUUAUAGUUGUUUUGUGUCAUAUUUUAAAAUUUAUUGUAAGCUUUUUGAAGGAUUGCGUUGGAGCUAUAGAUGGAACUCAUAUUCCUGCACUAAUACCCAUGGAAGAACAACCGAGAUAUAGAAAUCGUAAAGGAGUUCUUUCUCAAAAUGUCCUUGCUGUUGUAGAUUUUGAUAUGAAGUUUCAAUACGUGCUUAGUCAUUGGGAAGGCUCUGCUUCGGAUUCUAGAGUGUUAAGAAAUGCUGUUUGGGAAAGAUCACAAAAUAGAUUGAAAAUUCCAAAUGGUAAUUUACUAAUAAUUCAAAUAGUGAUAUUAUUUAUUUUUCUAAAGAGUACAAGCUGAUACUUGUAAUUUUGUAGGAAAAUAUUACAUUAUUGAUGCAAGCUAUGCAAAUACAAAGGGCUUUCUAGCACCUUAUCGUUGUGCACGAUAUCAUUUGAGAGAAUGGAGCCAAAACACAAGCACCACAAAAUGCUCGUGAGCUCUAUAACUUGAGACAUUCAAAACUUCAAAAUGUCGUAGAGAGGACAUUUGCUGUUUUGAAAAAAAAAAUUCCUAUAUUAACGACUCCACCUCCGUAUUCCAUCAAAAAACAAGGUUGGAUUGUACUAUCAUGUUGCAUACUUCAUAAUUUCAUUCGUAAGUGGAAUUGGCAGGAUUCAUAUUUUGAAGAACACAUGGAAGAGGAAAUAGAAGAUUCUCACGGUUUGAAUGAUAUUGACUCUGAUUCUGAUUCUGAUGAAGAAGACAUUGGACGAGGACCGACAGAUGCUGAUAAACAAUAUAUGUGCAAUCUGAGAGAUGAAAUAGCUCAACAAAUGUGGAAUGCUAGAGCAAUUAGGUGAAUAUCAUAGAUCGAAUGAUUCUCUUAGUUUUGUUGUGACUUGACUGUAUAAAAAAGGUUAUGUUGUAGCAAAAAAUAUACUUCUAAGUACGUAUGUACGCAUAUGCCAUAUAGAUCAAGGACGUAAAUCAUGUGCAAUACAAGUUGCCAACAUUGUAAGAAAUUGUCUUUUGUCAAUUAUCCUAGUCGUUGGACGGAUUAGUGGGGAAAAGGAAUGGGAGUAGUCUAGCUUGUGGAUGGAGGUUGAAAGGGACUUAAGUUCAUAUGUAUUUGGAGUAGUCUGUUAUCACAACUCAUGAAUGAUAGAGCAACAUUUCUUCAAAUAUUUUUGGUCUGAUGUCAUUCAUGAUGGCAAAUCUUGUUAACUCCAUUUUUUUUUUGUUUCACUGCUACACCACUUGUAUGUCACCCAAGUUAUGCCAUUAUUGCAAGCACAACUAUUAUCACUGAGGGUGCAAUCAGUUUCUUUUUGCCAUCUCAAGCAUAAUUUUGAUGUGUGAUGCUGGAAAAUCUAGGCUUGAAAAAACUUUUGUAUUCAUUAAUUAAUUUAAGUAGUAAUAUUAUUUACUUAAAAUCUAAUGUAUUUUAAAAUUUAACUGUGUAAUUACAUUGUGGCAUCCAAACAGGACAUGAGUAAUUACAAUGUGGCAACCAAACAGGCCAAUGUAAUUACUAGACAGUGUAAUUACUAGGCUGGUAAUUACUACCCUAGUAAUUACACCAAUUCCAAUUACCAGGUGGCUUUCCAAAUAGACCCUUAGUACUAAAAUCUCUGUUCAAGUGUCUCUCAUUAGCUCUAGUGUUUCUUCUAUUUUUCGGCUAUUGGUAAUCGUGGGACGUAUUGGCAAUGGGUUCAUAGGAGGUACUUGUGAUGUAGUCGCUAGGUUGUGUGCCCUUGGAGCAGAUGUGUUGUCCAUUGAUUCGGGCAGUGUCGAGGUACCUAAAACCAACCAAGGAUUAUUUAUUUUUUAGUUUUACAUUGGUUUAGACAUUUAAAAUACAUAACCUAAUUUUAAUUUUCUUUAAUGUUUAAUCAUGUAAAUAAUACUUAUUAGACUUAUUUAGCAUGAUUUAGUACUUUUAAAUUAUAAUCAUUUUCAUUAUGACUUAUCAAUUUGCAAUAUUUAUUUUAUACGAUUUCAUUAUUAUUUUUUAUUGAAUAUUUUAGUGUCAUCGCUCAUCUCAUAUUUUGUAUUAUUUUCUUAAGAAACGCCUUAGAUAGUUGUAGUUUGGUUGGACUAAAGAAAUAUUUAGAGUACAAGUUAAUUAUAUGUUUGUAUAAAUACUUUACCGGAAAAUUCAAAAACCCGAAAAAAUCCAAGGUUUAUAGUUUGGUUUGAUUUUAAAAUUCGACACAAAUGGUUUGGUUUGAUAUUUGAAAAUUCGAACCAACCCGAAAAACUCCGAGGUUGAAAAACAUGAAUAAACCCGAGUUUUAUUGGUUUGGUUUGAUUUAUAAUUUUAAAAAUUUGACACAAAUGAUUUGGUUUGAUAUUUGAAAAAUCCGAACCAACCUGAUCAAGUACACCCCUAAUUAAAAGGAAUGAAAUUUGAUAAAAACCCUUGGAUUCAUCUUCUUCUAUAAAAGGUAUGAAAUUCUUCCAGAAUAAACAAACUUUCUAAAGAAAAAUUUAGAAAUUUAAAAUUGGGAGUGAGUUAUUUAAUUCUAAGUUUGACACAUGCUUCUCUGUUAAAAUUAAGAAUAAAUUUGUACCAAAGUAUAGUGGAAGUCUGAGAGGGAUAUAUUUGGAUCGAAAGUAUAACAAGAGAGGUAUAUUUGGAUCAAAAGUAUAAAAAUGGUAUAUUUAAACUAGGGAAAAAGGUCAAAUAUACCCUCAAAUUUUAAAAAAUGAUAUAUAUACCAUCCGUUACACUUUAAGGUUGUAUAUACCCUUACCAUCCGUUAUAUUUGGAUCAAACGGAAAGACACGUGGCAUGAUCUCAAAUAUUUACCCUAUUUAAUUUAUUUUAUCCAAAAUUAAUUAUUUUUAAUCAAUUUAUUUUAAUCCAUUCACUGUCCUUGCUGCCUUAGCUUCAAAGAGACGUCCGCUUCUCUCCAUUGUUGACCUCAAAGCUUCCAAUUAUAUCCAUUGAUCAACAAAUCAAGCUCCUUUGUAUAUCCUUCGAGUUCGCUCCAUCCGAUUUCAAGUUCUCUCGAAGAAACCCCUAAAUUUUACGUAUCUAGAUCUGCAACCACUAUUGGAGCAAAAAUAGUUCAAAAUAUUCACUUAAUUUGAUUCGAAUUUCAUCACAAUAAAUAAUUUCUAGAUCUCCGAUCAAUGGCGAAGGAAUUUAACGUCCCAUCAAUGAAUUUUUCUGUCCGGCGAAACUCCAGAUCCACGGCAACAUAUCCUUCCAACGGUGUCGUUUCAACCACCGAAGUCGUAGAAUCCUAAGAUACCUUUCAUGUCCUUCGAUGUAGGAUCUGUUGUUGCUUUCACUCUGCAAUUCACGUCCACCACUAUCGGCGGCGGUGGCUCACCGGAUUUUGAAGGCAAGCUAUCGUUGCUGGAGGAGCUUGGGAUUAACACAAAACAAAUCUACCAAAAGAUGUAAUCGAUUGUGAAUUUGCUCACGUAAAGGCAGAUUUCAUCUUCUUAAUGGCAUACUGUCGGGUUGUUCAUCUUCUUCAUGGCAUAAAUGCCGGAAAGCUUAAUUUUGAAGGGAUGGAUAAUUGGGAUUAAAAAAAAUUAUUUUAGGGUAAAAAUAAAAUAAAAUAGGAUAAAUGUUUGAGAUGACGCUUCCGUUUGAUGUAGGGGCAUAUAUGGCCAAAAAGUAUGACGAUAAGGGUAUAUACAAUCGUAAAGUAUAACGAAAGGUAUAAACAUACCAUUUUUAAAAGUUCGAAAGGUAUAUUUGUCCUUUUUCCCUUUAAACUAUUUCAGAUAGUACAAGGGUAUAUUUGACCCUUUUCUGAAGGAAAAAAAAACUGAUUGGAUAUGAUAUGAUGGGAUAAAUGAUUCUAAACCACUUUAAUUCCUUAAAACCAAAAAAUUUAGAACCUUUAAAUGAGUUCACUGAAAUCAACUUUAACAAUAAAAAAAAUAUUUUCCAUUUUUUUCACGUUUAGUUCGCUUAAAUAUUUUGAAAAAUAACUUUCAAAUGAAUUUAUUUUAUUCUAAUUUAAGGAAAAUGGCUUCUCUACGUGAAGUAAGAAAAAAGAUUUUCAGAAGCUCUUUUUCAACUCUACCACCCCUUAUACCACUACUUACUCCAGCUAGACUCUGAUCUGGGAUCUGAUCCCAACAUCGACCUUGAUGCCAACCCAAGACUCGACAUCAGGAUCUAACCCCGACCAAAGACCUGACCCCGGCUUGAGUUUCAGCUCCCGACCUGGACUCGAUCCAAGAUCUAACCCCAACCUCAAAAUCAAACCUCAACCUGGGACCCAAAUCGAACCCAGGACCCGACCCCAACUCUCGAUAUGAACCCCACUGUGACCUCAACCUAUGAUCUGCCUUAACAUAACACUUCGAAUGUUUGAAUUAUGUUGAACUAAUCAAAUGCAUGUGAUUUUGAUCCAAAUUAUGUUUAAUCGAGUUUUGAGAUUCGAAAUCUAUCUCAAAAUGAUGAGAAAUCAAAUUUGGGGUUUACCGCAUCAAAUCAUUUGUUAAUCGGAGUUAUGUAUAAAAAGUUAUGAGUGUCUUGUGAAAUUACCGUGCAAAAGUUAAAACCUUGCUCAAAAUUUUUAUUUCACUACAUUUUUUAGCCUACUUCUUAGAAAGGAAACACCCAAAGUCCUCUCUCAAACACCUAAGGUGAGUUCCUAUUCUAAUAUUUCGAUUUAAACAUUGAUUUUAUCGUGGAUUAACAUACAAAUGAUUAUACUAAUUCGUAGAUCUUGAGAGUUAGAUUACUUGGAAUUCUUAAGCUUUUAAUUUAUCUAUUUCAUAAUUAAUAGGGAUAAAAUGGUAAACUCAUUAUCUCAAUCAUUAUUUUUUAAAUAUGUGUAUCAAUUUAAAAGUGAACAAGUAAUUAGGGGCAGAUGACGUAUUAGUUAACCUCUUGAAAAAAACUCUACAUCUUCAAAAUUAUUUAGACUUCCAAAGACCAUAUUAAUUGUAGCGGUAAAUAGGAAAACAAUAGUUAAUUUUAUCCUAAAUUAAUAAGUGACUAAGUAAUAUAAGACAAAAAAAUUUAGUAAAAUAUCCAUAUAAUAUAGGACGGAGGAAAUAUGUCGCAAAAUUAAAAUUUAAUAAUUAUUUUUAAAAAAAAAUAAGAAGAAAAAAAGAAGAGGGUAGAAUCUUAGCAUUAGAAAAUAGUCAAAAGUGUCGGUUGUAAUUUCAAUGAGAGAUGAAGGUGGGAGUCACAUGGCCAGCCAAGUAUUUGUUGUGAAAACGCUGCUCAAUUAUACAUAUAUUAAUAAAUAGGGAAUUAACACCUACACAUUAUCCCUCUAUGGUAAGAAAACAUGUCAACCAACACUUUGCCCCAUGACAUCUUGUUUGGCUUCAUGUUUUUUCGACACACAUUCGAAAUCAGGAAAAUUGUAUAAAAUAGUAAAUAUUUAAAUGAUAUUAAGUAUUAUAGCUAUUAUUUAGAAAAAUUGUAAUUCACAAUUAUAGUUUUCUUCCAAAUCUUGCUAUUAGUUUAAUAUGUAUAAUUCGUCGGAUUGUAUAAAUUAGAAUUUUAUAUAAUUCGGUUCCUAAUUGUAUAAAUUUAAAAUUUGUAUAUGCUUACUCUAACUAUUUGUAUACGAUUUAUGAAAAAAAUCACAAUAAAUUUUGAUGUUUGUAUAUAGGCAAGCGAAAUAUACAAACGAAGUUUUGAAAAAUUCCUAAUGUAUAAAUACAAAAUUUGUAUAUUCGCAAACGAAAUAUACAAACCAUGGCUUCCUUAGUAAAUGGAACUACAAUUAUGAAGCGCAAUUAUCGAAACUACAGUUAUAAUAUAAAGGUUUAUUAUGUCUAUUAUGUUUGUUAUUUCUGAAAUUUUCUCAUCGAUAUUUCCUCCAUCUAUUUUUACUUGUUUAAUAUAUUAAAAAUAAUUAUUUAUUUAGUUUAUUUUUUUUAGAGAUAAUUUAUUAUUUUGUGUCUAUUUUAUUCUUUAUAUUUGAUACUAUUCAUUUUUCAAUAUUUAGACUUGAAAGUAUGAAUUUGACCAAUAUAAAAAAUAUACUACUUAAUUAAUUCAUAUUCAUUAGUCAAUUAUGUUGGUCAAAUAUAUACAUUUGACCAAAAAUAAUUGACAACUAGACAAAAAUGGAGGGAGUAUUAUUUAUAAAAAAAGUGUAGGCUAAAAAGUUGGAGAGUGAGACGCAUAAUUUUGUUUUUAUUACCAUUUGAAAAAGAAAUUUGCAUCUCGUGACUAUCCAACUCUAUGAAAUGACCGACAAGGAUUGUGGUGGAGUGGUAAGUACUCCUUCAUUCUUAAUUAAGAGAUCUCGGGUUCGAGUUCCCUUGAAUACGAAAUUGCCUUUGUUAGGGAGCGCUUUAUCCUUUAAUGUGGGACUUCUCGGAGCGAGUCCAGAUUUAGUCGAGCUCCAAUAUGGAUAUUGGAUACUGAGUGGAAAAAAAAAACUCUAUGAAAUUAAAUGUAGUCUCAUUUGGCUCAAUUAAUUUAAAGAGGAUUUUAAAUGGUAUAGUCAUCCACCAAAUAUCAAUUAUUUUCAAAAUGAAAUUUAUACCCAAACAAAACAAAAAAACUUCAAAUACAUUAUUUUAAACUUAAAAAAAAAACACUCUGUUUUUUUCAAUACAAACCUAAUUAAAUAUAGUCCAAACACCAAAUCAUCCUCUUAUUUAACUUAAUAAUUCUCUCUUCGUCACAGCGAGGAAGAUACAACAACAACAUACUUAAUGAAGUCCCGAUAAAUGAGUCUGGAGGAGGAUAAAAUACGCAGAUUUUAUCACUGUCUCAGAUCACGGCAAGAAAAUAAUCCAAUUAAACGACACAGUUGAAUUUGGCUAACAUAUCUCUAACAAGAACUUCAGUAAUACGACGAUGAGCUUCAUCUGUCAAAUGAAUUCCAUCCCAAUGAACAUACUGUGCCGGAUUCGCACAAGCAUUAAUCCCAGCUGCUCCACACACAGUCCUGAAGUUAAAAUUAUGCCUCCCUCCAGUUCCACAACACGCACUCAGCAAUGUAUUUUGAUUAAACCCAAACGAAGACGGGUUGCGAAUAAGUGACAAAAUUGCACCAUAAAAAUCACCAUAAACAAUGCUAACAUUUGGGAAUUCACGUUGUAGAUUCGCUAUAGCCCUAACCAUGUAUCUAUUAUGAUACGAAGCGAAAUCAUUGAAGUUCCUCAAGCAUCCUAAUUGAUCGUAACCACUCGUAUUGUUAUCAGGGAAGGAUGUGAGGUAUAAUGGGAGGCAUCCGAGAGGGUAAAUGCUCGGAACCAACACUCGUGUUGCUCCGAGCUGAAUCACCUCUUUGAUGCCUCUCAUUAUCCCUGCAACAACAAAUGGAACGUAAGUUCUAACUUCUGUGAUUUGCUUUCUCUGGAAGAAACAAUUGUAGUAAUCGUUUCCUCCCCAUUCCCCCAUUAUUACUAUCGACUUUUUCAAAUUCUCUGCACAUCUAGAACCACAAGUCGAUUGGAGAUGCGUUUUGAACCAAUUUAAUUGAUUUGAAAGCGGAGUGUUCCAUGUGGGUAACCGGAUGUUACGAGCAGUCCAGAAGGAUGUAUCAAGGGCGGUAGCUCCGGCGACGGCGAAAUUUACUCCUUGACUGAAAGAUGCGCCUCUGUCUAAAUAAGCAUUGAGGAAUGAGAGUUUGAAUGAUUGAGAAAUGAAAUCGGUGAUAACGGCGGCCGUUGGAGAAGCGGCCGGUGGGUCUUCUGAAGAAAGUUUCACCGUAAGGGGAACGGUCGGCGCGGAAGAUGAUGGAAGCGCCGGGAGUACGGAUGACAUUUCCGGCGUCGGCGAGGGAGUCGCCGAGUUGGUAGACGGAGUUAACGUUGCAUUUAGUUUGGGCAGAUGAAGGAGAAAAGAAGAAUGAUGUGAUGAGUAAAAGGGAUAAGGAAAAUUGGGUAAGAGAAAGAGUCGCCAUUGAAGAAUGUUUUUUGCUGCAAAAUGGAAUCCAUUCACGUGCUACUUAUAGAAUGGUAGACCCCGAUCUGUUUGGCCGUGUGAUAUGAAAUUAUGAUAUAAAAUUAUAUCUAAAUAUCAAAUUUUUGUUUGAAUAUGCGAUAUUGAUUUGUAAGUUGUAUUUUUAUAUUUAUAAAUAUAAAAUUUUCAUAAAUUGUAAAAAUUAUCAUAAUUGUCUUAAUUUUCUUUAUGUAGUCUUAUCGAAUAAGCAAAAAUUCAUACAAUAUAAUACACUAUAGUAAAAUUACAUUUUUAAUAAAUAUAUGAUAUUUAUUGAUUGAAUUUUAGCUCAAUAAAAAAGUUAAUUUGAAAAUGAGUUGUAGUAUGCUACUCUUUAAUAAAACUGAACAUGGUCAAUAAUUUAGGGAUAUGUGUUGGUCGUUUCGGUUUGAAUUUUAUUAGUUUUACUUAUUUAUUAUCGAUUUGUAGACAUGUUAAAUCAUUAAAAUAUUGACUUAUCGACUAUUGAUUUAUUGGUUAUUAAUUGUUAUCGGGUUAACCGUUAAGAUUUGACACAAAAAAACAAUGAAAAACACUUAGAAACAAGGUGAUAAAACAAAUGAACCACACAAAUAAGUUCACAUAUUGCAUCUUUUCUCAAAAGCAAAGACCUUUAUAUUGUAGAAUAACCAAAAGUUUAAAAUUACCAAAAAUAAAGUAUAAAACUAACUCUAAGUCAAGGAUUUUAUAUAUAUAUAUAUAUAUAUAUAUAUAUAUAUUUCAUCGUAUUCAUAUUAUGUGGAUUUUUCAUCGCUCCUUUGAUAUUUAUUGAAUCAAAGGCAAAUAUGUAAAAAUAAAAUUCAACAACUUUUUAAAUUUUUUAAAUAAGUCAAUUAUUUUGAACUAUAAAAACAAUGUCAAUAAUUUCGUAGUGUGUCAGCUGUUGAGUGGCUGGUUGUCACUUUAAUUUGUUUUUUUCUUCAUUUAUGGUUUUAGUUUUAUUUAAUGACAAAAAUGAUUAAACCUUUUGACUUUUUGACUGGUAAUUCAUUCAUCAAGUGGCUUCAAAAACAGAAUCUAGUAGUAUUAUUUUUACGUGAAGGAGUACAUGUGGGUCAAAUCACACUUUAUUUUCUGUCUCAAAUUUGACAUAUCGGGAUUUUUAGUCUAUUUUAAAAAGAAUGAUUUAUUUAUUUUUUUGGUGAUAUUUUAAUUUUAGUUUUCCACGUAAUAUGUUUAAAAUUAUAAGAUUAAAAAUAUAUUUUUAGUAUAUUUAGCAUAACUUUAGCUUAGGACUAUAAAAUUGAAAAAUCUUUUUUAAUUUUUUAAACUUUAUGUUAAGUCAAAUUAGACCAUUUUUUUUAAAAGGAGAAAAUAGUAUUGUUUUAUAAAAGAAUUAACUGAAUUUGUACGCUGUUGUUUUAGAAACUACUCCUACAUGAAAAACUACUAAACAUACUUAUUAAAAAUAAAAUUAGAAGUUAUAUUUUCUUUGAUUUUAAAAGAACGAUCUAUUUUUUUUUUAUAAGAAUCAAAGGGUCGACUGAAAGAAACAAGAAAAUAUAUGUGAAAUUAUCAAAAUCUAAUUAAAUUUAUUCGCAACAAAGGACUUUAUAGCUUUACCUUUCAAUUGAAUCCAAUCAAAUAAUAAUAAUUUGAACUCAAUAAAAAAUGAAAAAACCAAAUUGAAUCUACCAAGAGGAUAGCUCGAUGGUUGAUUAAGCUAGAAGAAAUUAACACAAACAGUACUGGGAAUCCACCCUAACCAUACAACUACAAUUACCAACUAUGAACUACACUAAUGCUAGGCUUGAUCUAGAAACUACAAGGUUCAAAGCUUUCUAAUAUUCAAUUCAUCAUAAUCUUCGUAAUCUAAGUUUUCCAAAAUAAUAAAAAUUAUUAUUUAUAUUAAGAAAAUUAAGAAGGUACUUUUUUGACAAUUUUACCCUUAAUGAGAUAAGGACCUUAUUUGGUUAUCUUCUUUUUGUGAAUUCUUGAAUUUAUGAGAGCGUCAUUUGCAUACAUGGUCACUUUCUUCACUUUGAUGGAUCUUCAACACAUUAUAUGUCUUUAUUUGGUAUCCAGCAAAUUCCUCUAAAAUUUUCAUAUGAUUUAUGCUAUUCAACACUUUAAAAGACAUUUUGAUACAUGUGACACAGCUUUAAUUUAAAAUCAUAAAAUUAAAAAAAAAAAUCUUUACUUUUUUAGAAUUUGUAUCAAAUUAAACUAAAUCAUUUUCUUCUAAGUAAAAGUAAAUAAUUUUAUGUGACCAAGAAAAAACCACUUGCACUUGUCCCUAGGAGACUUUUGUUUCCUAACGGGUGUCAUUUUGUCCCAUCUGGGCAAAUUGCUAAAAUGAAGCCCAACACAACCUUCAUCAACUCUAUUAUUAAAACGUGUAAAAUAGAAAGUGAACAACUAAAAAAGAAAUAAAUUACGUAUAUUUUAAGGAGAAUACAUCUUAAAUGUUUACUUUUUCUGUCUCUAAUUACUUGUUCAUUUUCAUUUUUAAUUGUUCCUAAUUAUUUGUCCAUCUUGACAAAUCAAGAAAAAACAAUUUUUUUCACCUAUUAUAUCCUCAAUUAAAUGACUAAUUACUUUGAAAAAUGUAAAUUUUGUCAUCCACUUCAUAAUUAUUAAGGGUAAAAUGGUAAACUCAUUAUGUCACUAAUUAUUUUCUUAAUAUAGGUGUGUCAAUUCAAAAAUAGACAACUAAUUAAGGACAAAUGGAGUAUUAAAUUUGUAAAAAUAUCUCAUUAGAGUUAUUUUGAUUUUCUUUAGAUAAUAUAAUUAUCAAACUAUGCACAUAUUUUCAAUAAGGUGAUGAAAAGUAACGAAAAAAUUAAAUUUUAUCGGAGGCUUAUACAUGUAUAUUUUUAGAAUCCAUUUUUAGAUCCAAUAUUUCAAAUAGAUUUUUAAUAAAAUAAAUUUUAUUCAUAUAAUUAGAGCAAAAUGAAGAUGCAAUUUUUCGUUAAAAAGCUUAUAAAUGUAUCACUUAUUUUUAACAGAGCCUUAAAUAGUUAUCUUUUUAAUUUGCCUUUUUGUUUAAAAUUCAAUCUAAUAAUAGGCAAUAAUGCAUUUCCGAUGUUUUUCUUAAAGCUGAUCUUUAUUUUCAUUUAAGAGGAAUUUCUUAAAUAGCAAAUCUUUCUAAUUGCAAACUUGAGAUUAAUGUUUAUGCAACAUAAUAGGAGAAGAUGAUAGUGAUUUUUCAUGAAAAAGAAUUGUAUUUGAAGUGAGUCAAAUUAAUUUUAUAUAAUGGGUUAAUAUUGGAUAAAAAUGGUUCUAAAAAAGAAAAAUGUAUAAAUUUCGGUUAAAUUUUUUGUUUUUAUCAUCACUUUACACCUUAUUGGAAAUAAUGUGCAUAAUAUGAUAAUUAUAUUAUUCAAAAAUUAUUUUAGAAAUAUAUAUUUACAAGUUGGAUAACCAUUCCAGGAAUCCACUUUAUUUUUUACUUAAAAAAAUGCAGGUGUCGGUGAACAUAUUUCCUUUUUCGAAAGUAAAACCGUUUGAGUUUGAUCGAUAAUUUGCAUAUGAAAUCUUCACUUUUUUUAAAAUAAUAUAUAUAUAUUUGUAAAUUACGUAAAGAGGACUAUGACUCACAAUAAUUGACAAUCCAAUAUAUUUAAAAGAUAUAUAAAAAAUUUAUAAUCAAAAAUAAAUUUAUUUGAACCUCAAAAUAAAAAAUAUGUCAUAUAAAUUAGAACGGAAGAAGUAUAUUAUUAUUUUUUUAGUAAAAAGGAACUGUUUGCCAACAAAGAUUGUGCUUUAAUAAUUGAAUAUGAUAAAAUGCACACAUUUAAGCAUAAGCACGUUGCUUGAGAAAGAGAGCCUUUCUUACCUACUACCUUUUGGUUGGAGUAAAGAUAGGUAGGUGGAAAAGUUUUGAAUUUGAAUUCAAUAUUUGCAAAAUAAUGCUUAUUUGCAUCCGUCUUAUAUUAGUUGAUUACUUUUAUUUUUAUAUAUGUAUUAAAAAAUUAUAAAUAAGAAGGUAAUUUUCCUAACUAUUUCAUUCCUUAAAAUUUUAUUUUGGGAUUUCACAAAUAAAUGUGAACACUUUUAAAACGAAUUAAUGGAAAGAGUAAUAUAGGAAGAAUUUAAUUAAUAUUUUUUUGACUUAAUAAGGUAAACAACUAAUAUAGGACAAUUAUUUUUAGAAAAGUGAUCAACUAAUAUUUUAGUUGUCAUAGUUUUCUUUAUUAUAAUCAAACAAUAACAACUUUGACCAACAUUUUAUGAUGUAUUUUUCAUCAUAUAGAUAUGCAGAAAAUUGUAAUUUAUAGUAUUUUUCGUAUUUUGAAUAUCUAAAUUUUUUAAUUCAAAAUAUUGAAUUAAUGUAAUCUAAUUUAACUUUGAAAAUUAGUCAAAUUGACUUUCGAAAUGCGCAACAUGACAACUAAAAAAGAACGGAGGGAGUAGUAUAUUUUUAUUGGAUCAUAAAAUGAUUUCUUUUGGAAAAAUAUAGGGUCUGGAAAGCAUCUUUAUAUACGAUACUACUACCUUUGUUUCAUAUUAGAUGAGUAUCUUACUAAUAGUAUUUGUCUCAUAUUACUUGAUCACUUAUUAAAUUAGGAUUGAAUUAAUUAAAUAUUUUUCAUUUUACCUGUCACACCCCAAGCCUACACCUUGAAGGUGGCCGACACUCAGAACCAUUGGUAGUCCCAAGUGAACCCUUGGUCUGACUGACUACUGAGCGAAACACUAUACAUACAUAAAGAAGUCUUAUAAAAUAGACAUUUAAAAUCAAUUAAAGAUAUCUAAUACAAAAGUCAGAAAUAAAUCUGAAUAUAAAUAAUGUUAAUAAGAAUAAUGUUAAAAUUUCUCAAUGCUCAAGACUGAAUUGGCUCGCUAACUUUGUCUAUAUAUGAAGCCUUUACUAAUAGGUGUCAGGACAAGACCUACGACUAUCUGACUAUUUAACUAAAUGACUAAAAAUCAAAUAAACUGAACUAACUAAAUUGGAUCCCUCCGAAAGUCAGGAGGUCUCAUCAGCGACAAAUGAAAAGAGAUCUUGUUGAACGCCUGCUAUCAAGAGUAAUUGAACUGCAUUAUAAAACGAUGCAAUAUCAAAUAACAUUAGUACAUGAAACGUACUGUAUGUAAUAAGAUUGAAUUGAAAUACAUAAUUGAAUAGAAUACAUGAACUGAAAGUAAAGCAUGAACAUGAAAUGACAUCAUUAAAGUUUUACAGUAAGAUAUGCAAUAAUAGGAAAUACUAUAAUAAUAAUAAUAUACUUUACUUUUCUUGGGGAGUUCUCUAACCAACAACCAUCACUAUGAGGCUCGUGAUGAUACAACGUCUCGUCCACGUUGCCAGAGUAUGAAAUGUAACUCACUUAUGGAUCCACUAAAAAGCCUUCUUGAGGCAGGUGAGGAGUCGCCCGAAUUUCGGUACGAUCCUAUCUACGUUGAAAGUGCAGGUUAUGAGAUUCGAGCUAUCAUAACUCUUACCCAAAUCGGUGAUCAAUCCUACUCCCAAAAUAUAUGUAUUAAUGGGCUUAUAAUGAUAAUAUCCAUUGAGUUGAAUUAAUAUUCAAAAGGCCCUCUUUAAAUGAUAAAUUGAUCUUUACUUUAAUUUACUGGCUAAAAUGCUUGUGUAAACUGUUUAUACUCUUCUUAGAAUAGUAGUUCUCUUCUCAAUGCAAAAUAAUACAUUUGGAACCGUUAGCGUUCCUUCAAAACUUUUUUCAAAUGAUGCUUAAAAUAUACUUGGACUCACUUUAAAUUCUAAAAUCAAUGCUUGAAAAUAAUUGUACAAAAACUUUCAACAAAAUCUCAAUUACUAGGGUUCAUGAGGUAAAUAUAAGCAUGAACAACAACUCAAGAAUUAAAAUGCAUAGAGUGUCAAAUCUCAUCUCAAUAGUUCGGAAAUGGGAACUCCAAAAAUUCAUGGAACUUAGGGUAGAAACCUAGAUUUAUCUCUUCACUAAUUGAAUUUAGAUGUAGGGCGUGAUGAAGAACUUAGUCCAACACUAUGAAUAGUUUUACAUACCUGAUUAUGAAGCUAUUGGAUAGAAGAAUUUGGUGGAGACUUCAUUUUUCUUGAUCCUGAGGAAGAACACUAGCUUUCUUGGAGGAAAACUUUGAUCUUGAAAUCUUGGUGCUUGAUCUUGAGGAAGAAAAUAUAUUUUAUAGAGUUCUUAGAGUGGAAUAACUUGAGAAAACCUUGGAUUGAAGACUUCUCUUUGUGUUUUGAAUUUUUGACAUAGAAGUUUUAGGGUUCUUGAUGGAAAAGAGGAACCAUGAAUGAAUUCUGAGAAAAUUUUUGGAAACUUGAAUGUUUUGAUUGAUGAUUAUGAGAGGAUAACUAGUUACUUGAAUGAUAUACUCCUUUAAAACACCCAAAAUGACUUAUAGGGACAAAAAGCUUGGGAAAGGACCAAGGUAACACGAACACAUGCAUUAAGUUUCUAGAAAAAAAUCGCAGCACGCCUUCAUAGAAGGCUCCACGAUCCGUGGAACAUUCCAUCAUCCAUAGUAUCAGCCGUGAAAUAGCGACUGUAUGACAGGGCUUCACUGAAAUGAGUAUAACGUUUUACUCCAAACUCUAAGUAAUGUAAACUUGGUGGCAUUAGAAAGAAGAUUCAUAUACCUUUAAUUUGAUGGGUUAUUGGCCACGCGACUCUUCAUAUUCUAAGAGAUGUGAUUAUUUGAAGUUGAUCCAAGUAAAAUAUUAUAUUGACACUCAAUUGAUAAGGAAACUUUCAACUCAACUUUGUGUUUGAGGAUUCUUAUAACCUUAGUCAAUCUCUAAAUCUAUUCUCACACUAAGGAAUUGACCUUAACACCUAAGCACAAUUUAAGAAUCAUCCGGUAGAACCUUAUACGCAUAUGAAGAAUGGUUUGAGUCUUAGUUUAGAAAUUUUAAGGGUGUUACGAUACCUCUGUAAUUAAUAUGUCUUUGGAAGUUUAAUUUUUUUUUUUGAAGAUCCAUUUUUUUUUGAAGAGGCCAUUUAAUAUGAACAAAGGGAAAAAUAGUAAAAUUGAUCAAUCUGUAAAUGAUUUCUUAUUAACCAUGUAAAAUAAGAAGUGCCCAUAUAAUAUGAAAUAAAGGGAGUAUAUACGAAUUAAUAAGGUGAAACAUGUUUGUCUGUCUGUAAAGAGGAUAAAUUAGUCAAUUAAUAUGUCUAUUUAUGCAUUAAUUAUUUGUACAUUUUGGUUAGAAGAUUAUAUAUUUUUUGUUCUUUACUUGGAUGAACAAAAAUGUGCCUUAUUUAAUGUUCUUUGUUUUAUGUUUAUGAAGCCUGACCUUUAAAUACCUUUAUUUCGCUCCUACUUUAUUUUUGCAUUAUUUUACUGUAAUAAUCAGAUUCGGUCGUUAUGAGUAAGCUAAUAGUGAAUGAAUUUGGACCAGAAAACUUUUUGGGUAGUGACUUAAAUUUUUUUCCAGCUAGGUCAGCCUCACAAAAAAUCUGGACUAUGUGAGGUCUGGGGUCAUCCGGGAAUGGGUGGGGUGUGAUUUGGGGGUUUGGUUGAUAUAUUCUUGUAUCCAAGACAUUAAGGAAUCCAUAAUGCCUUUCAAAAUUGAAUUCAGGUUAGUAGAACUCUCGAAAUUAAACUUGACGUGAAAGGUAUAUGUCGGAACAUCAAGAAAAGAUUUGUGUUGUAAAAAUUAACUUUUUCUAGAGUUUAAGUUUCUAAGCUUUAAUCGAUCCCGCUAUAGCGAGCCGAAUUGGGUUUUAGUGUAGAAACAACCCCGAAAUCUCUGUUUUCUGCAUUUUGAGUUCUUGGACUUGGAAGAGGCGAUUUUGGACAGGUAGCACCUAUUUCUCCACAGAAUUCAUUGAUAAAGGUAAGAAUUCAACUCCCCAACCUUAUGCAUUGAUUAUUAAUCCUGAGAAUCUAGGUUAUUGCUAUUGGUGUCAUGCUCUGAGCCUACAUUCUGAGCGGGACUGACACUCGAGAACCAUUUCUGGUCCCAAGCGAACCCUUGGCCUGGCUAGACUCUCAGCGGAAGACUUUAAGAAUUAAUAAAAGAAAACAAAUGCAACUUUACUCUACUUUCUCAAAAUAACUUAGAAUGUUUUAGAAUUAAACAUCCAACUAGCCAAAGUGGCAACUCAAGUUUUAUAACAAAACAAUUUAAAUGCAAAGACUAAAUGACUAUAGCUAUCUAUCUAUGAAGCCUCUAAUACUAUGAGGGAUGUCGGGACAAAACCCUCGAUCAUCCUAAAAACUAAAAUAAUAAAGUAAAAAUGAAAAUGGAUCACCCGGAAAGCAAGGAGGCUCACCAAAUGACUCUGAAAUGCUCAACUGGAUCAACGAAGCGCUUGAUGUUGAUCCUGAUAACCUAUAUCUACAUCACAAAAGAUGCAGGCCAAAUGGCGUCAGUACAUGGAAUGUACGAGCAUGCGAGGGAAAAACUAAACAUGACAUAAGCUAGAACUGAAAUCUGAAAGAAACACUUACCUCAACAUUACUCAACUCAAGGCAAAAAUAAACAACAAUAAAGAUACAGUUUAUAUAAAGCAUUUAAAACAGUAGAUAACAUCUCAAAGUAUUGAAAAAUACAAUAAUAUCCCAGUUGUAUGGAAGAAUACAAAAUAAACUCUGUUUGGGAGAUUCUUUAAAUGAUAACCAUCACUAUGUCACUUAAUAGGAAGGCUCCAACUUAAAGAGAACUAUCUAAUUCUUGUUUAUAAGGAUAAGUAGGAAUCAUAAUUCCCUUUUUACUGGAUGUGUUUUAAGCUUACCGCAAAUAAUUUAUCACCAUGCUAUAAUGGAUUUUUUUUUGAAUUCCAGCUUAUAGAAAAUAGUUUGUCUGUGUUUUGAAGUAAACCAAUCAAAGCACUGUUCCAACUAACCGAUGGAAAAGUUCUAGGCAGAGGGACAAAAUGAGGUUUAUAUGUAUUUGUAUUCUAGAAAACUAUUGAUAUCUUGAACUGUUCUAAAGACUUCUAAGGUUGCAAAGUAUGUCAUAUUUGUGAGUUCAUGUCUAGAUAUCAAGAGAAGUUUGAAUGCUUUGUUUGUUUGAUACUGCUAUGUGAUGUGAUGUCAUUGUACGUUUAUUUGAACCUCCCUUUCCUUGUUUGUUUCUUUCAUCCUGCUCUUCUUGUUCCCUUUUAUUUUUACCUCAUAAUUUACACUUAAGUUGUUCAUAUAUGCUGUGUAAUUCAUUGAAAUAAUCCUUACAGAAAACUGAAGUCUUCCUUUGUCUUUGCAGCGACAUGUUUCUGAUUUCUAUAUCUCUGAUUUCCAGUCUGGAUUAAGGGCUUUGGUCAAAACUGGGUAUGGUGCAAGAGUAACCCUUUAUGUCGAAGAGUCUAUCCAGUGAUGACUGAAUAAUGCGAUUGAAAGAAGGGUAUGGCUUAACUCAACUUCAAUGAAUCUUGAAUAUUUCUUCUGCUUGAGUUCUUUGAUUAAAUAACAGACAACAUGCUCAAUCAUAUCUAGAUGCCUGCUUUGAUUAAUAUUGUAUAUAUUAUUACUUUUUUAUCCCUGCCAUGCAUGUUGUCCUCAGUUUGGUUUUUCCUCUCCCAAAUCUUUGUUCAGGUAUAUAAAAGAGGGUAGCACUGUGAGUGUAAUGGGAGUUGUCCGACGGAACGAUAACGUUCUGAUGAUUGUUCCUCCUCCAGAGCCACUUUCAACAGGAUGUCAGUGGUCUAAAUGUAUUCUUCCAGCCAGUCUGGAGGGUAUCGUUUUGAGAUGUGAGGACAGUUCAAAGAUUGAUGUCAUUCCUGUGUAGCACUUUUAUGAUUAUAGAAGGCUAUGCUGUUUUUGUUUUAAAUAUGUUGGAAAACCCUCUUCUGUCAGUGGCAACAAGAAUUAUAUUGAUCAACAUAUGUGUUAAGUGAACAAUAAGAAAAGAUAAAAAUAAUUUUCUCUAUACAUGUGUUAUAUAAAAAUAUGCUUUGCUAAAUUUUCUAAAAGUGAUGUUGAUGUAAUAUUGUUAAACCAAAAGGUUCUCUUUCUGUUUGCCCAUUCCUGAACAAACUUGUAUGUAAGCCUCAAUAAACUUUCGGUGACCCUCUAUACUACAACCGGUAGCAAAUGAGUAGAUUGGAUUGAAUUUGGACGGAUUGAAAAUUGAUUGAGUUGCAAUUUAUUCAUAUGAAAAUUUGUAAAAAAAAAUAAAGGAAAAAGAUCAAAUACAUGUACUAUUUGAAAUAGUUGAAAUAUACCUCUCGUUAUAUUUUUGGUCCAAAUGUUCCCCCUCUUGGAAUGAAAUUUGAUAAAACCCCUUGGAUUCAUCUAGCAACCAGUAGAAGAUAAGCUAAAAUUGUAUAUUCAAUAAUUAAAAGUAGGGGUAAGCGUGGCAACGGGACCGGAAUCGGGACUACCGGAACCGGCCGCCACGGGCCGGAACCGGGACGGACUGGAACCGGUAAUUCUAGGAAAAAAUAUCAAGACACGUCCUGGACCGAGACCGGAAACCGGGUCCCAACGGCUAUAUUUAAUUUUUUUUUUUAUUAAAAUUAAAAAAUUAGGAACAUUACUCAAAAAAUAUUAAAUUUUUUUAUAAUUUUAAGGUUAAAAAUUUAUACUUUUAAAGUUUUAAAUACAAACUUUCAAACUUUAAAAGUAUAAAAGUUUAAAUUUUACACUUUAAAAGUUUGAAAAUUUAAAUUCAAACUUUAAAACUAUAAAACUAUAAAAGUUUAAAUUUCACACUUAAAACUUUGAAAAUUUAAAUUCAAACUUUAAAAUUAUAAAACUAUAAAAGUUUACAUUUCACACUUAUAAGUUUGAAAAGUUAAAUUCAAACUCUAAAACUAUAAAAGUUUAAAUUUCACCCUUUAAAAGUUUUAAAAUUUAAAUUUAAAGUUCAAACUUUAAAACUAUAAAAAAUUUAAAUUUCACACUUAAAAGUUUGAAAAUUUAAAUUUAAAUUAUAAACUUUAAAACUAUAAAACUAUAAAAAUUUAAAUUUCACACUUUAAAUUUUAAAAGUUUGAAAAUUUAAAUUCAAACUUUAAAACUAUAAAAGUUUAAAUUUCACCCUUUAAAAGUUUGAAAAUUUAAAUUUAAAUUAUAAACUUUAAAACUAUAAAACUAUAAAAAUUUAAAUUUCACACUUUAAAUUUUAAAAGUUUGAAAAUUUAAAUUCAAACUUUAAAAUUAUAAAAGUUUAAAUUUCACCCUUUAAAAGUUUGAAAAUUUAAAUUCAAACUUUAAAAUUAUAAAAGUUUAAAUUUCACCCUUUAAAAGUUUGAAAAUUUAAAUUCAAACUUUAAAAUUAUAAAAGUUUAAAUUUCACCCUUUAAAAGUUUGAAAAUUUAAAUUCAAACUUUAAAAUUAUAAAAGUUUAAAUUUCACCCUUUAAAAGUUUGAAAAUUUAAAUUCAAACUUUAAAAUUAUAAAAGUUUAAAUUUCACCCUUUAAAAGUUUGAAAAUUUAAAUUCAAACUUUAAAAUUAUAAAAGUUUAAAUUUCACCCUUUAAAAGUUUGAAAAUUUAAAUUCAAACUUUAAAAUUAUAAAAGUUUAAAUUUCACCCUUUAAAAGUUUGAAAAUUUAAAUUCAAACUUUAAAAUUAUAAAAGUUUAAAUUUCACCCUUUAAAAGUUUGAAAAUUUAAAUUCAAACUUUAAAAUUAUAAAAGUUUAAAUUUCACCCUUUAAAAGUUUGAAAAUUUAAAUUCAAACUUUAAAAUUAUAAAAGUUUAAAUUUCACCCUUUAAAAGUUUGAAAAUUUAAAUUCAAACUUUACAACUAUAAAUGUUUAAAUUUCACACUUUAAAUUUUAAAAGUUUGAAAAUUUAAAUUCAAACUUUAAAACUAUAAUAAAGUUUUUUUCACCCUUUAAAAGUUUGAAAAUUUAAAUUUAAACUUUAAAACUAUUAAAGUUUUUUCACCCUUUAAAAGUUUUGAAAAUUUAAAUAAUUAAAUUCAAACUUUAAAAUUAUAAAACUAUAAAAGUUUACAUUUCACACUUAUAAGUUUGAAAAGUUAAAUUCAAACUCUAAAACUAUAAAAGUUUAAAUUUUUACACUUUAAAAGUUUGAAAAGUUUGUAUUUAAAACUUUAAAAGUAUAAAUUUUUAACCUUAAAAUUAUAAAAAAUUUAAUAUUUUUGAGUAAUGUUCCUAAUUUUUAAUUUAAUAAAAAAAAAUAAAGGCGAAUAGCCUAUACUUUUAUUAAUAUUAAUUAAAUAGUACAAGUUGAAUUACAAAAUAUUAGUAGAGGAUUAAAAAAUCUAAUCUACACAACCAUCUUCUAGGAAGGGUUCUGUUUGAAUUAGACCUCGAAUUAUUAUACUCAUACUAAUAGACAUUUAAAUUUAAUAGUUCAUGCUACCAAGGAAAUCUUUUUUUAAAUCAUUUAACAUUUCUCUACUAACAUGCUCUGGAAUUGGUUGAUUAGGUAGAGUAUUAAAAAAUCUAAUCUACACAGCCACCUUCUAGGAAGGGUUCUGUUUGAAUUAGACCUCGAAUUAUUAUACUCAUACUAAUAGACAUUUAAAUUUAAUAGUUCAUGCUACCAAUAAAUCUUUUUUUUAAAUCAUUUAACAUUUCUCUAGUAACAUGAUCUGGAAUUGGUUGAUUAGCUAGUUCCUCCAUUGCAUCAAUGUCGUCGUCACUAAAAUCUUGCAUUAUUUCAUCAACGUCAUUUUCAAAUUUGGUCGGUAAAGGUGGACGACCAUAACUCCUUCUCUCGCCAUUAAUCCAAUCUCUAAAUAAUACCGAUAUCUCCAAGCUAUCUGCUGCUAAUGAAUAUCUAUGCUCUCCAAUUUGAAAUCUUGUUGCACUAAAAGCGCCUUCCGAAGCUACUGAAGAUGCUUGAAUAGCUAACACAUCUCGAGCAACCGGUUGAAAUUUUGGAAAUCCCUGGCCGCGAUUCCUCCACUAUUCUAGAAGAUCAAUAGUAGUAGCUUCUGUAUUUUGAUAAAUAUAUGCAUCAAAAUCAUUUCUAUCAUUAUGAGAAAGUUCAAUAAUACAAUCUAUCAUAUCAUCAAUAUCAUCUUCAUUAUUAUAUCUACUCCUAGAACUUUGAGGCUCUUCGUUAUGUACUACAUUCCUUAUAUCAGAAUUAUACAAGUCGUACAAAUUUCUAGCUUCAAUUUUUAUACUAUCUUUAACAUCUUGACAACUAGGUGUUUCAUCAUCUUCAAUACCCAAAUUAAAAUAUAUUUUAUCAACCAUUCGUGAUGCACCAUCAUCUUUGUAAUGUGGCUUUAACAAACAAGCAGUUAAAUAAAUUUGAGGAAUAAGAAUAAAAUAUUUUUAAAAUUUUUCAAUCAUUUUCUUAACAGAUGCUUCAAAUCUUGGUUUAUUUUUGAAUUUAUAAAAUUUACUAGAAAUAGCACAAAUAUUAGGUAAAACAGAGCAAAUAGUUGGAUAAUAAAGUGCAGAUAUUUUUUUUGUAGUUAAAUAAAAAACUUUUAAGAAUUCUAUAAGUUCUUUUAUGUUAUUCCAAUCACUAUCAUCAAGUCUAUAUGCCAUAUUUGAAUUAUGAGCAUUCCAAACAAUUUGUAAAGGUUUCCUAUAUUCAUAAGCAACUUCAAGCAUUUCAAAUAAAGAAUUCCAUCUAGUACACACUGAUUUUGGAAUUUUUCUAGGUGGAAGAUUAAAUUCACGACAACGAUUUUCAAAAUCUCUACGUCUAGACUUAACUUGACAUUUAAAAAUAAAAUGACAUGCAGUUUCAACUUUUGUGCAACCAUCAUCAUAUAUUGCUAUACCAUCUCUAACAAUCAAAUUAUAUAUGUGUGCAGCACACCUAAUAUGAAAACCAUCAAUAUAAAUAGGGCAAAGAGACGGUUUUAGUAUUUCAACAACAAUACUAUUAUUAGAAGCAUUAUCUAAUGUGACACUACUUAUUUUAUCACAAAUUCCAUAGUUUUGCAAAACAUCUAUAAUUGUUUAAGCUAUAUAACUACCGGUUUUAUGCAUUUCACAACAUUUAUAACCUAAAAUUCUUUUUUGCAAAGUCCAAUUUUCAUCAAUCCAAUGCGCAGUAAUUGUGAAAUAAUCAUUACCAUUUACACUACGACCCAUAUCAGAAGUAAUAGCUAUUUUACAAUGGUUAUAAUAAAAUAAACAACGAAGAUAUUGAAAAUGUUGAGCUUGAUAAUCAAAAAUAGCCUUUUUAAUUGUAUUUCUAGUAAAACCUUUAAAAUGUGGAUUAUACACAAUUUGAAUAUAAUGAAUAAAACCGGGAUUUUCAGCAAAACUAAAUGGCAAACCCAUAACAACAAUCAUUUUAGCUAAUUCUUCAAGAUCUUUUUCUCUACUAUAUGACCGUUGUAUACUAGAACCAGAAACAUUAGAAGGAUUUAAUUGUGUUUGGACCAUAUUAGACCCCCCUACUCCUACAGUUUCAGGAAGGGUGGUACCAUUCUUUUUAGCUUCAGCUACACCUUUAGCAUGCAAAAAUUCAUUUUUACAACAUGACAUUAAAUGAUUACUCAAAUGUCCCGUCCCACCCUGUUUUCCUACAGUUUUAUGAUUCAUUAUAUGUUUACAUUUAUUACAAAUAGCUUGUGUUUUAUCUUCAUUCUGAGUCAUAAAUUGCCAAACAAUUAAUUUUUUGGCGCGUUCUACCUUAGUCCUAGGAUGCACGGGGGGAUUGGGAGCAGGACAACGAAAGGGAGCAGGAGUCGGGGAAGAGGGAUUGGGAGUGGGACUAGUAGCCGACGGUGGCUCAGUUUCAUCAUCAUCAUAUUCAUCAACAUUAUUAUCAAAACUAUCAAUAUAAUCAUUAACAUCAUCAUGUUCAGGUAAUUCCUCAUCAAAAUUACCAAACCUGCUUUGUAAAUGUUCAUGAUUAGGAUCUAAUCCACUAUUACUAUCAAUAUUAAAAACAGUUUCAUCAACAUACGUAUAAUCAUCCGUAUUUAUUCUUAAUUGAGAAGUUGUUUUAGUUUUAGAUUGAGAAGUACUACGGGUUUUUUUAUUUUUCUUGGAUUUUGAGCUACAUAAAUUAGUGAUCGAAUCAACUAUGGUUGUUUUACCCUUGUCAACAUUAUUUUUAGCGGAAUUCAUAUUCAAAUAUAAAAAAGUGAGUAAAUUAUAUAUAAUACGAAAAUGUAAUGCAAAGUUUUAAACAAAUAAAUAACUAAAUGAAAAGUGAGUUGGAACGAAUGUACCAAACGUCUACUUAAAAAAGUAGACGUGUAUGACCGAAAGCCGAAAAUUGAAAGUUGAAUUUUGAAGCUCCAAUUUCCAAAGACCAAAUUCGUAAUUUAAACGAGAAUAAGAGAUUAGAGAGUAGAGAGAGUAGAAGAUAAUAUUUUUGUGACUUGUGAGUGAAAAGAAUGAAAGAUUGAGGGUAUUUAUAGUUAAAUAAAAGGAUGAAAAUGUAGUUUUUAUAAGGUUGGGGUAUUAAAAAAAGUUUGGGGGGUAGGGAGGUGUAAAAGGGGAGUAUGGGGUGAAAGAGCCGUUUGGUGGGGCCCAAAAGCCGUUGCCCAACGGCUCUCAACGGCUAUAAUUUGAAUUAAUACUUUUAAAAAAAUAAAGAAAAUUUAACGAACCUGACCGGACCGGGACCGAAACCGGAACUAACCGGUAAAUCCCGGUUUCCGUCCCUUUACCCCUCCCGGACCCGCUACGUUCCGGACCAAACCGGGACUAACCGGAACUGAGACGGAACCGGUAACGGACCGGAACCGGAACCGGCACCUCCCGGUUCCGUUGCUAGGCUUAAGUAGGGGUGUACAAAAUCAAACCAAAAACUUAAUCAAACCAGAAAAAAAAAACCCCGACUAUACUUAGGUUGGUUUAGUUUUAACUAAAGAAAGUCAACUCGAGACCAAACCAACCCAACAUUAUAUAUAUAAUUUUUAAAAUUUAUUUUAUACAUAAAAGUAUUUACUUUGAUGUAAUUUCUAAAUAUUACUUGUACAUUUUCAUAAUUUUUAUCUUUUACCAUAUUUUUUCAAGUUUUUUGAGACUUAGAAUUUUGAAUGGUCCAAUAAAAGUUAUAGUCCAUAGAUAUUAGUAACUCUAAUAAAGCUCAAUUUAAAAUCAAAUUAAUACUAAUGCUAACAAAAUAGAUUAAUUCAACUCUAAGAAUGACAAUAAUGUUGAAUAUUUGUUUGUUUUUUGGUAAUCAAGAUGAUUUAAUAUUAAUUAUAUAAUAUGCAUCGAUACAACAGGUUCAGCCACAUUACUUGUAGCAUUACAUACUAAGUUGAGUAUUGGAUUUAUACAUCCAUUAGUAUUACAAAAGAUAUUUGAAUUACUAGCAAAAGGAGUUCCACCCUUGUCUGCUUCUAGGCUAUCAAAAACAAAUAUUGGGGAACUGACCAUUCUUCAAAACGAAACCCGUUCAUCAUCUUCCCCUUCUUUGUUAACAAGUCGGUUGUCCUGUUUUGUAGGAGUAGCUCCCUGCAUUCAGAAACAAUGUUGGAGUAAGCAUUAGAGCUGGAGUUUAAUAUAUUAAUUACCUCCAUUGAGUCUGUAGAUAUCUCCAAAUCUGUGAUAUUGUUUCUCUUGGCUAGAUGCAAACCAUGAAGGAUUGUUGUAAUUUCGGUGCCACUAGAAGAGUUAGUGUUUAUUUUUUAGAUGCAUCCAGCUACCCAAUUUCCUUGCUUAUCUCUAAUUAUGCAGCCUCUGCCCCCUUCUCCGGUAUUGGUAUUAAAAGAGCCAUCUAUAUUAAACUUAAAUUGUCGCACGGGAGGGGGGGGGUUCCAAUAGGCCUCGAGGGGUCUUCUAUCCCUUGGGAGUUUUGUGGUUGAGUACCCUUGGGCUAGAUGGAGAAAUUAUAGGGUUCUGACUUUGGGGACCAAGGGGAUUUCAUUGGACGUAUCUUGGUAGAGGUUAUUGUUUCUGUUUAGCCAUAUAAUCCAGAUGAAGAAGGGGAAGGUUGUAGCCCAUUCAAUAUUCAUGACGCUAGCGUUGAUGUAGGCUUACUCAUAGAGCCAGUUGAGACUAUCCUUAACUAUGAUCAUGGAUACUGAGUCAUAGAUAUUAAGACUUGUCCAGUUCUUAUUGUCUAUGUCACAAUCCAAAAAGAUAUGUUUACCCAUUUCGAUUUCCCCACAAAUAGUGCAUUUCGGGUUUAAAAUAAUUCAUAUGGAUUUAAGGUAUUGUCCGGUAGGGAGUCUAUUAUGGGAGGCUAGCCAAAGGAAGGACUUAAUUUUGUUGGGGCAUCUAAGUUUCCAGAGCCAGUUGUACUUAAUAUUCCUAUCAAAAUCACUUUUAUGACUCUUAAGGACUCUAUAGGUUGAACUUGUGGAGAAGGUUCCAUUAUCACUAUGUUCUCAGAUUAUUCUGUCUUGAGGGGAGAAGUUUUGGGGGAUAUGGACAUCCUUAAUAAGAUUUUAGAUAUCAGUAGGGAGUUCAAAAGAUAAUUCAUUGAAAGACCAUUUGUUAUCCUUGAUUAGGUCGCUGAUAUUGAGGUUUUGGUCUUUAAAACUUAGAGGGCCCGCUAUUAGGGUGUGGAGGGCUUCAGUAUUUGGGAUUCAUUUGUCAAACCAAAAGGAUAUUUUGUCUCUCUUGCCAAGGUCCUAUCUACUAUUUUUCAAACAUAUGCCCCACCCAUACA
rnacentral:lncRNA from 1 species